CCACGCCGUAAACGAUGAGUGCUAAGUGUUGGAGGGUUUCCGCCCUUCAGUGCUGCAGCUAACGCAUUAAGCACUCCGCCUGGGGAGUACGACCGCAAGGUUGAAACUCAAAGGAAUUGACGGGGGCCCGCACAAGCGGUGGAGCAUGUGGUUUAAUUCGAAGCAACGCGAAGAACCUUACCAGGUCUUGACAUCCUUUGACCACUCUAGAGAUAGAGCUUCCCCUUCGGGGGCAAAGUGACAGGUGGUGCAUGGUUGU
rnacentral:rRNA from 1 species